GGUCGCAAGCUUGAGGCCACAGCAGAAGUGCUCAUGGUGUGGCCCUGUCAGAUUUCAGCAAAUCUGCGAAUUCUGCU
rnacentral:ribozyme from 1 species